rnacentral:lncRNA from 1 species
GGGAGGGGCUGGGUGGAUUUUGGGGGUGGGGGUGGGGCUGAGCCCCCUCUGAGCCCCCGAUCCCAAAAACUGCAACUCCCAGAACCCCCUGCACACACAAAAAAACCCCGAACUACAACUCCCAGCGUGCCUUGCUGCAGAGACGAGAGCCAAACUACAACUCCCAGCGUGCCUUGCGCUGCAGCCAGGAGCUGAACUACAACACCCAGCAUGCCUUGCUGCCAGGCUCAGGCCUCGCUGGGACUCUUUAGGGUCGGUUUUAGGCCGGCCCAGGAGCCAAACUGCAACUCCCAGCAUCCUCUGCUGCUCCCAGCAUGCCCUGCGGUCCCGUUAAAGCCAGGCUUAGGUUAAUCUAGGCCUCACGGCCUAUCCUAGGCCUCGCUUUGGGGGUCCCGGGAGCCCAAGUCCAGCUCCCGCCGUGCCUCGCUGUCCGUACCUGUGCAACUACGGCUCCCAGCGUCCUUUGCUGCUGCGCUCACGCCGGCUUUAGGCCCCGCCGGGCAGCAGAGGCCUCUCCUGGGCUGGGUCUCGGCCCUUUCCAUCGAACCCCUGUGGGGCCGGACUACAACUCCCAGCAUCCCCUGCGGCCACAGCUCCAAAAAACCACAACUCCCAGCGGCCUUUGCGGCCGGUUCGCCACGCCCCCUUCCUUCCCAGCACGCCCCGCGGCCCCGCCCAACUACAGCUCCCAGCAUGCCCCGCGGCCCCGCCCACCACACCCCCCCCCGGUUUUGGGGUGUUUGGGGGGGUCCCUCCCCGUAUUUUUGGGGUUUUUUUCAGCCAUUUUGGGGCGGGGGUCCCUCAGC